rnacentral:rRNA from 1 species
GACGAACGCUGGCGGCGUGCUUAACACAUGCAAGUCGAACGGUAAGGCCCUUUGGGGUACACGAGUGGCGAACGGGUGAGUAACACGUGGGUGAUCUGCCCUGCACUUCGGGAUAAGCCUGGGAAACUGGGUCUAAUACCGGAUAGGACCCUGGGAUGCAUGUCCUGGGGUGGAAAGCUUUUGCGGUGUGGGAUGGGCCCGCGGCCUAUCAGCUUGUUGGUGGGGUGAUGGCCUACCAAGGCGACGACGGGUAGCCGGCCUAAGAGGGUGACCGGCCACACUGGGACUGAGAUACGGCCCAGACUCCUACGGGAGGCAGCAGUGGGGAAUAUUGCACAAUGGGCGCAAGCCUGAUGCAGCGACGCCGCGUGAGGGAUGACGGCCUUCGGGUUGUAAACCUCUUUCAGCACCGACGAAGCGCAAGUGACGGUAGGUGCAGAAGAAGGACCGGCCAACUACGUGCCAGCCGCCGCAGUAA